UGGUUUCCGUUGUGCUCGGGAGCAGUCGCGUAGUCGCCCGUGUCCAGCUCCUUCUUUGUUCUUUGUUCCGAAAUCGGUCUUCUUCUUCUUCGGACCCCGAACGUCGCCUCACGCUUCCUGCCUUCGUCAAAGGGCCUCCUUUCGUUCGACACAUUGGGCGCAAGAGCGAGUUGCACGGCUGGCCCUCCGUUUCAAGUGACCUCCUUCAGCUGCGGAUGACCUGUGCUUAAUCAAGACCGCUUGAAUGGCAACUGAGAACUUGCUCCAAGCAAAAAGUGUUUUUAUGAAAUCGUGUUAGCUCGUGCGAAUUCACUGAAUAGGAACAAGUGUGUUUUCAUCGAGACAGCUCUCGUCUGCAAACUUGCAUUGUCGGCCUAAUAAAGUGUGAGGUUAUUAAAAUGUGAGGUAAAAAAGGAAAAAUCUGUUGUUUUGUGUUUUGCUGGUGAGGACGAAGCCCCUGCUGUGCACACCUGCGGAAACGAAGUAAGUCCCUUAUCAGUUUGUUCAGAGAUUUGAUUUUUUCCCGUGGUAAUCGUGAAAAA
rnacentral:lncRNA from 1 species